UAGAAUAUGUCCACGCUCCUGCCGGUGAU
rnacentral:piRNA from 1 species